rnacentral:rRNA from 1 species
UACGUAGGGUGCGAGCGUUAAUCGGAAUUACUGGGCGUAAAGCGUGCGCAGGCGGUUCUAUAAGACAGAUGUGAAAUCCCCGGGCUCAACCUGGGAAUGGCAUUUGUGACUGUAGAGCUAGAGUACGGUAGAGGGGGAUGGGAAUUCCGCGUGUAGCAGUGAGAUGCGUAGAUAUGCGGAGGAACACCGAUGGCGAAGGCAAUCCCCUGGACCUGUACUGACGCUCAUGCACGAAAGCGUGGGGAG